rnacentral:rRNA from 1 species
UACGUAGGGGGCUAGCGUUAUCCGGAACUACUGGGCGUAAAGGGUGCGUAGGUGGUUUCUUAAGUCAGAGGUGAAAGGCUACGGCUCAACCGUAGUAAGCCUUUGAAACUGGGGAACUUGAGUGCAGGAAAGGAGAGUGGAAUUCCUAGUGUAGCGGUGAAAUGCGUAGAUAUUAGGAGGAACACCAGUUGCGAAGGCGGCUCUCUGGACUGUAACUGACACUGAGGCACGAAAGCGUGGGGAGCAAACAGG